rnacentral:rRNA from 1 species
AACGGCAGCACGGACUUCGGUCUGGUGGCGAGUGGCGAACGGGUGAGUAAUGUAUCGGAACGUGCCCAGUAGCGGGGGAUAACUACGCGAAAGCGUAGCUAAUACCGCAUACGCCCUACGGGGGAAAGCAGGGGAUCGCAAGACCUUGCACUAUUGGAGCGGCCGAUAUCGGAUUAGCUAGUUGGUGGGGUAACGGCUCACCAAGGCGACGAUCCGUAGCUGGUUUGAGAGGACGACCAGCCACACUGGGACUGAGACACGGCCCAGACUCCUACGGGAGGCAGCAGUGGGGAAUUUUGGACAAUGGGGGAAACCCUGAUCCAGCCAUCCCGCGUGUGCGAUGAAGGCCUUCGGGUUGUAAAGCACUUUUGGCAGGAAAGAAACGUCAUGGGUUAAUACCCCGUGAAACUGACGGUACCUGCAGAAUAAGCACCGGCUAACUACGUGCCAGCAGCCGCGGUAAUACGUAGGGUGCAAGCGUUAAUCGGAAUUACUGGGCGUAAAGCGUGCGCAGGCGGUUCGGAAAGAAAGAUGUGAAAUCCCAGAGCUUAACUUUGGAACUGCAUUUUUAACUACCGGGCUAGAGUGUGUCAGAGGGAGGUGGAAUUCCGCGUGUAGCAGUGAAAUGCGUAGAUAUGCGGAGGAACACCGAUGGCGAAGGCAGCCUCCUGGGAUAACACUGACGCUCAUGCACGAAAGCGUGGGGAGCAAACAGGAUUAGAUACCC